rnacentral:lncRNA from 1 species
GAUCAUUGAAUCUCCACGUCAUAAUUGUUAAUAAUGGAUUUAAUUCAUACAAAACCUUAAAGUUAAUAAUAAUAAAAUGCAACCGAUAAGCAUUAGAAACUAAUAGCAGGGCAAAAAGAUUCAUUAAAGACUGCAGGGUGGAGAAAGGGGUGGCAGAAGAAAGAUUGAGGGGGAACCAAAGUAUCAUAGACAAAAUCAUGCAGCAGGCUGCUCCUCAGUGGCAGGAGCUUCUUUCUGGGGUUCUUCUGUGAGGCCAUUAGAGGUGGCAUCCUUUGGCUGUGAAUCAGGUGCACCUUCUGCUGCAGAUCCAGUUGCUUUUGAUGCUGCUUUCUCUUUUCCAUCCUUAUUAUCUUUGGCGUCUUUAGCAGGAGCCGGUGGUGGAGGAAUCAUGUGAGGUGGUGGUGUAUGCUUCAGCUUUAACAG